CCCCACCAAAGCUAGAAAAGAAAAAAGAGAAGAGGAUUUGACUUAGUUUUGAUUUAGAGAAAACAGAAGAAUUGGUAAAGAAUGAAGCAGACAAUUCAAUCCGAUUGAAUCCAACUUUGACGUCCGUAAACAAACACUCCUCUUUCUCUCUCUAAAAAAAUAAAAAAAAUACAGCUAAAGAAGCUGAAUCUAUCUACUGAAAAAAAAAAGGAACAGUGAACUUGAGCAUUUAUUCUUAUACGUGCUCAUCGUUAUUAACAUAAUAUAUAAAAGGUCACACUAAAUUAUAUGUGUUUUUGCUUGUAGUUCAGUUUAAGGAAUAGUCAAUCUGCCAAGCUGCGGUGUGUCGGUGUUUAAAUUGUGUCCUGUGGAUUAUGGGAAAAAGCGGCGAAAAGACUGUUAUUUGAGUGGAAAUAAGUCAAGUUUGCAUCUUUGGGGUCAAAAGUGGAGACUUUCUAAUGUCUACUUCAGAUCCAGAUAGUAUAUUGCUCGGUUAAUUGAUUGAUAUUAUUGGUUUGUUUUGGUUUGGAGCAAAAUUGAAGUUUCUUGAGCUUAGUGUGGGUUUUGAUGCCAUUUUAGGAAGUUUCUAUAUUUACUCAAGUGUUUGUAGAUUGUGUAUUUCUUGGUGAAAAAUGGUUCCAACAGGGUCGCCUCCGAAUCCACUUGGAGGUUCCCAAUCUGUACCGUCUUCAUUACUGCGAUCGAAUUCGGGUGUAAUGGGUAGUGGUCAAGGGGGUAGUGCAAUGCCUUCACCAGGUGGUUUCCCUUCUAUGGUUUCACCUCGGACCAUGUUUGGUAACAUGAAUAUGCUAGGGAUUGGAGGUCCCAAUGUUUCACAUCAGUCCUUUGCAAAUGGAGGUCCUAAUGCUGGUUCUCAGCGUGGUCCGGUUGAUAAUGGGGCUGAGACUGAUCUGCUUUCCGGUGUAGGAAAUGGGGGGAUGGGUUUUAGUGCUUCUUCAAUGUCGUUUAUGUCAUCAGCUAUGGCGACAAAUCCAAAUAGCAGUCAAGUUCAAGGACAGCAGUUCCCUACCCCCCCUGCUGGUAACCACAUUUUGACUGACCAACAACGAUCCCAACAGCUUGAUUCUCAGAAUUUUCAACGUAAUCAACAGUUGCAGCAGUUUUCUUCCCCUAACAAUUCCCAAACACAGCAACAGCAGCAUCAAUUUCAAUCCAUGCGUGGUGGAUUAGGAGGCGUGGCACCCGUCAAAAUGGAGCCACAGGUGACUAAUGAUCAAACACCGCAGCAGUUGCAAGCUCUGCGAAACUUGGCAAAUGUAAAAAUGGAACCGCAACAGAUUCAAAGUAUGAGAGGUCUUGCGCCUGUCAAAGUAGAGCAACAACAAUCAGACCCAUCUUUGUCUCUACAACAGCAACAACAACAGCAGCAACAGCAGCAGCAGUUCCUUCAGAUGUCAAGGCAGUCCCCUCAAGCUGCUGCUGCUGCACAGCUUUUGCAUCAGCAGAGGCUAAUGCAGUUCCAGCAUCAGCAGCAACUCUUGAAGACUAUCCCUCAACAAAGAAACCCACUUCAGCAACAAUUUCAAUCACAGAAUCUUGCUAUAAGGCCUCCUGUAAAACCAGCAUACGAGCCCGGGAUGUGUGCUCGUCGGCUGACUCAUUAUAUGUAUCAGCAGCAACAUAGACCUGAAGACAAUAACAUUGAGUUUUGGAGAAAAUUUGUUGCUGAGUAUUUCGCUCCCAGUGCCAAGAAAAAGUGGUGUGUCUCUAUGUAUGGGAGUGGUCGUCAGACUACUGGAGUUUUUCCUCAGGAUGUGUGGCACUGCGAAAUAUGCAAUCGCAAGCCAGGCCGUGGGUUCGAAGCGACUGCCGAGGUCUUGCCCAGGCUUUUCAAGAUAAAGUAUGAAAGUGGCACUUUGGAAGAACUUCUCUAUGUUGAUAUGCCCCGUGAAUAUCAGAAUUCAUCUGGCCAAAUAGUCCUAGAUUAUGCAAAAGCAAUUCAGGAGAGUGUCUUUGAGCAACUUCGUGUUGUCCGUGACGGUCAGCUUCGCCUAGUGUUCUCACAACCUGAUUUGAAGAUAGUUUCUUGGGAAUUUUGUGCUCGACGUCACGAGGAGCUUAUCCCUAGAAGAUUGUUGAUACCUCAGGUUAGUCAACUUGGUGCUGCAGCUCAAAAGUACCAGGCCACCACCCAAAAUGCAUCAUCCAGUGCGUCUGUUUCUGAGUUGCAGAAUAAUUGCAAUAUGUUUGUUGCUUCAGCUCGUCAGUUGGCAAAAGCUUUGGAAGUUCCGUUAGUAAAUGAUUUAGGAUAUACAAAGAGAUACGUGAGAUGCCUUCAGAUAUCGGAAGUGGUUAAUAGCAUGAAAGAUUUGAUCGACUAUAGCAGGGAGACAAGGACCGGACCCAUGGAGAGCUUGGCUAAGUUUCCUCGUAGGAAUGGCUCUUCAGCUGGGGUAGGUCCAGUUCAAUCAUCUGACGAUCACUCUCAGCAGUCACAGCAACAGCAACAACAGCAGCAACAGCAGCAGCAGCAGCAGCAACAGCAGCAGCAGCAGCAGCAGCAGCAGCAACAGACACAGCAAACAGUCAGUAACUCGAACCAUGAGACCACUGCCCAGCCUGGUGUGAUGCAACUAGCUUCGAGCAAUGGUAUGUCAAAUGUAAACAACUCUUUGAACCAAGUGCCUGCUACUUCGUCUAGUGGUACUAUUGUUGGACUGCUGCACCAAAAUUCCAUGAACUCCAGGCAACAAAAUCCAGUGAAUGGUGGAAGUAGUGCAUACUCAGGCAAUGCUAUCCAAAUGCCUUCACCAAAUUCUUCAAGUACAAUGCCUCAGUCUCAACCCAACCCCUCUCCAUUCCAAUCUCCAACACCAUCGUCAUCCAACAAUCCACCACAAGCUUCACACAGUGGCUUAUCAUCAGCACAACACAUGAACUCUGCAAAUUCCCCAAAAAUCUCAAUGCAGCAACCAGCCGACGUGGAUGCUAAUGACUCUCAGAGUUCUGUACAAAAGAUUAUACAUGAAAUGAUGAUGUCUUCACAGCUAGGUGGCGGUGGCAUGGUAGGUAGUGGUGCUAUUGGAAAUGAUAUAAAAAAUGUACAUGGAAUGUUGGCAACAAGUAAUAAUUCCAUUCUCAAUGGAAGCAACUGCCUUGUUAGGAAUGGGACAGCCAGUGCUAAUGGUACAGGUGUUGGUGCUGGAUUUGGGAGUAUGAACAAUGGACUGGGCCAAGCUGCAAUGGCUAAUGGAAUUCGGGCUGCAUUGGGUAAUAACCCUUCAGCCAUGAAUGGGUUAGUGGGCAUGACAAUGGCGAGAGAGCGAAGUAUGAGUCAACAGCAACAAGAUAUUGGAAACCAACUGCUUAGUGGUCUAGAAGCAGUCAAUGGUUAUAACAACCUUCAGUUUGACUGGAAAACAUCUCCUUAAAAAGGUUCAAGUUGGCAAUUAUUAGUUCUGCUGCUUGUGCUGCAAAGAUAACUUUGAGGAGUUUGCUUCGCAUGAUGAGAGUAGCCAUGGUUGCUGAAGCAGAAGCGGCAUCAAAACUUACCUCAAAGCGUGGCAUCUGAACGACUGAAAUGUCAUUUCAUCCAAAGAUCGGAUACACUCUUCUAACUUGAUUUUGCCUGGUUUAUCACAGCUGCUGAACAGGCCUUGAAUGGGACAUUCAGGGAGAGACUUGGCUAAUGGACUGCCGCAUGCUAUCUAUUUAUACCAUGUGGAGGCGUUUGUAAACUACAUAUCUGUUGAGCCAUCUGUUGCCCCUAUUGGGCCUGUAUCUCCGCCACCACUCCAGAGCAUGCGGUUGUAUAUAUUCGGGAUUCUGUUGUAGCACUUCCAGGAGCUGCUGGAAUUGGUGCCGAAGUCGAUGGCCAAAAUCAUACAUAGAAGCGUAUCACAUUUGUGGAUGGGAGUUUGGUCCAAUUUCUUCACGAAGAUUGAAGAAUCUAUUUUGCAGCAAGAAAUACCAAAGAGGUAAUAUGAUUGUAAUGACAUAUGAACAACCUGGGACUUAAAUAUGUUUCGUCACUUAGGUUAAAUGUCGGCAGAUAUAAAGAGUGUCAUAUCAAAAUGUUAAUUUUACGAGUAGGUGAUUCAAAAGCAUAUGUGUGCCCAAGUGCACAAGUUUACCAACACAGCAAUUUAUAGUGUUCUUUC